rnacentral:pre_miRNA from 1 species
GUUUCCAUCACGUCGAUUGGUGUCAGAGCCACGCUAAUUCUAGCUUUUGCGCGGCUCUGAUACCAAUUGAUGCAACGGAAAC